CUUUUUUGUCUUACUCAUUUCCUGUUUACUGUAAAAGGUCUUCUCUGUCUCUUCAGAGGGAAUUCACAAUUCAACACAAUCUGUCAACUUUCAUUUAGACAUCCCCUGUUCAAACUGUACAAUGGAGUAUAUACUGUAACUGAGACUAUAACAUGGCAAGAGGUGUUGAUAUAAAGAGUAUUUCAUAUAUUUAUAGAGCAAAACUGCAAGUGUAAACUAGGCAGAGACUAAGGGAUGAGUAAUAAGUGAACCACCGACAAGGGAUGUUCCUGUUAAGGCCUGCAGAGAAUCAGCUAGUCAUGCCAGGCUGCUGUCUACCCUAUUUUGAACUGCAAGGUCACAUGAAAAUACAGAUGACAACUGCUCUGGAUGUUUUCCUAAAAUUCUGCUCCCGGGCUCCCAUGGUGUCUCCAGCACUGAUGCACCUCAUUACAGCCAUGCAGCCCUGGCAUUAGAGGGUGAAAUCUCUUCACAUGCUGGGAGUGAUGAGAUCAGUACCGACGAUGAAGAUGAGCCAGGAUAUCUAAUGCUGCAAAAUGCCUUUGAGAGCAUCUGCCCUCUCAUCAGCACACACAACUGCUCUCCAUCUGUGCCAUUCUCCAUCCUCUGGGGCUGCAUCACCCCUUCACCAAUUAGGCCAUUAUGCUGCUGAGGACAAUUUGUGCCUCUUCCAGGCUGGAGAAGGGCAAGCAGUUACCGCUCGUGUGUGAUGGCCGAUGUCUCGAUGAAGGGACACUGCGACACACACCCCCAGAGCCAGACACCCGCUUCUGCAGCCUCACCCAGCCUGCCCAGUGCUCGAGGUGAGAGCAGGAGGGAGCAGGAGGUUAUGGCCAUGAAUUGGGCACUGAGGGCACAGAUGGUGUGUGCAAGCUAAUGGGGCGCCCUUGCAAACACGUUCGGGAUCUUCGUGUUCUUCAGGGAGCAUUUGUUAGGCAGACACACUGAUGUAGUUUUGCACAGUUCAUCCAAGAAAGUGAAGUUGCACAGUACCCUGCAAAAGCAAAGUCUGUAUGAAGAUGGGAAUAUGACUAGAGUUUGUAUUAACUUUGGAUUAAAGUGUUUUAUUAUUACUUUUGUGUAAGGAGGUUAAUUUUCUCUCUGUUACUUGGGGGACAAACAGAAGCCUGUGUUCCCUACUGAAAUCAGUCCUUUUUCAGCCUAGCAAAACCUGUAUUAAUAAAGACAAAAUGUAAAUAUUUAUAAAACAUGCACAGUCACAUCACUCAGUGUUACUAAAAUCAUUAAUAGUGUCUAGUUCUCGUUUGUAUUGUCAUAGUCACAGGAAGCUGCAGUGAUGACAGUAGGAAAAUACACAUCCACAGCAAGCUUUAGAUACAUUUUGGAAGGAUUUUCUUCACUACUUUACUUAGGAGGGGAGUUCUAAUAGUGCAUUUUAAUUUAUUUUCCACAUAUGUAUGUUGCAUACAUUUCUUAUCUGAAAGGAACUGUGAAACUCUCCCACUGCUUCUUGCCUGAAACUGCUCUCUGGAUUGCAGUUCUGAUUGUCUCCUCUUGAAAUUAUCAUUAAAAUGGUACACUGGCAAAAAAA